AGCGAACGCUGGCGGCAGGCCUAACACAUGCAAGUCGAACGAAGCCUUCGGACUUAGUGGCGGACGGGUGAGUAACACGUGGGAACGUGCCUUUAGGUUCGGAAUAACUCAGGGAAACUUGUGCUAAUACCGAAUGUGCCCUUCGGGGGAAAGAUUUAUCGCCUCUAGAGCGGCCCGCGUCUAAUUAGCUAGUUGGUGAGGUAAAGGCGCGCCAAGGCGACGAUCAGUAGCUGGUCUGAGAGGAUGAUCAGCCACAUUGGGACUGAGACACGGCGCAAACUCCUACGGGAGGCAGCAGUGGGGAAUCUUGCGCAAUGGGCGAAAGCCUGACGCAGCCAUGCCGCGUGAAUGAUGAAGGUCUUAGGAUUGUAAAAUUCUUUCACCGGGGACGAUAAUGACGGUACCCGGAGAAGAAGCCCCGGCUAACGUCGUGGCAGCAGCCGCAGUAAAAC
rnacentral:rRNA from 1 species